rnacentral:piRNA from 2 species
UCCAAACACAGAGAAAAAAGUCAUCUUC